UUAGUCACGCCCACUUUCAGACCUGAACUUUUGGUAGCGUCUGCUUCCACUCAGAAGACACUUGCUCUUAUUCUAACAUUUUGUCUCUGCCCUGCUCCCUUAGAUGAGGAUGUAUUUAUGCCUUUAUUUAUCCCCCUAUCACCCACUAAAGCUUAGCUUGCCUCUGAACAGUUCAGAUCAGGCUUUCUAAUGUGAACAAGCGAGUGGAAUCUAAGAAGAACCCAGCAUUCCUGCCAAAAUACUGUUUUCCACCCAUUCCACACAGACUUCAUAGGUAAGUCCUGUUGCUUUUUGGGCAGCCAUUUACGAAACUUGAAAAACUGUGUGCAAUGUGACAAAGAAGAAAUGAAAUCAAACCCUUCCACAAUAUUUGAAGAUGAAGACUGUUAAAAGUAAAAGGUAGGAAGGUAAAGUUGGUUUAUCAAGUUUAAAACAGGGUUACUUCCGGCAAUCCAAACUUAUAGGCAAAUCCGCUUUAUGGAUUUCCCUAUAGAUAAAGCAGGCAAUAUAGAAUAAUUGUUUGUAACUUUAGAGAGGGUGAAGAAUUA